AGAAUCUUCUGCAAUGGGCGCAAGCCUGACAGAGCGACGCCGCGUGCGGGAUGAAGGCCCUCGGGUUGUAAACCGCUGUCACUCGUUAAGACAGUCUGUGGUAGGCCCACAGGUUGACGUUAGCGAGAGAGGAAGUCCCGGCUCACUUCGUGCCAGCAGCCGCGGUAAGACGAAGGUGACAACCGUAGCGCGGAAUCACUGGGCAUAAAGCGCGCGUAGGUGGCUGGGUAAGUCCAUGGUGAAAUCCCUCGGCUCAACCGAGGAAUGGCCGUGGAUACUGCCUGGCUUGAGGUCGGGAGGGGUGAGUGGAACUCUCGGUGUAGCGGUGAAAUGCGUAGAUAUCGAGAGGAACGCCGGUGGCGAAAGCGACUCACUGGACCGCACCUGACACUGAGGCGCGAAAGCUAGGGGAGCAAAC
rnacentral:rRNA from 1 species